ensembl:lncRNA
GCGCUCCCUCGGCCCCAGCGCCCGGACCCGGGGGGCGGCCCGCGCGCCCCGCGCCCACGGGGGCCCCGCCUCCGGGCGGGCCGGCUGCUGGGGGGGCGCACCCCGACUUCCCCGGGGUCACAUGGGCUGCGGGGGGCGGGAGCGCCGGGAAAGGGGGAGGCGCGGGGAGCUCGCUGCCUGCCUGCCUGCUCGCUCGAGCCGGGGACGAGACGCCCCCCACCCCUCCAGCUCGGCCUCUCCAUCCAAGUUCCCGGUCCCCGGCCGCCCGGAUCCGGGGAUGGCAACCGCCGCCCGCCCGCCUCUGCGCCCUUUUUUCCAGCCGCCGCGCAGAAAUUUAGGUCAAGGACGUCGGGAUCAAACCCAAACCCUGGCGCUCCUUGGGCGCUCCCGGAGACCCCCAGAACGGGGGGCGGGGGGCUUUCAGGAUGGUGCGGACACCCUCCGCACAAACCCCAGCCACAAGUUUUAUUUUCCUUUCGCGCUGGAAGUUCUGUCUGGCUCUCGAUCCACACCGGCACGUCUUGCGCGGCUCCCCGCCCUUCCCCGGCAGAGGUCGCUGAGCUGAUUAAGAAGAAAGCUGACUCCUACCUUCCAAUCUUGUGUCCAUUUCAUCUGCUUCCAAACAUAAAGCCGCCCGCUGCUUUUGCAAGAUCUUGGCUGGUUUAAAAAGGCAGAUUCGGGAUUUGUGUGCAGGAUUUCAGGAAUGUGGGGUCUUCUGGUUUGUUUUGUGUGUGGAUGGCACAGCAGAAGGGAAACAAAGCAUUCUGCUGCCUCGCAUGGAGGUUCUUCUAGUAGCCAGGCGACCUUGAGCGGAAAAGCCACCCUCAGUCUCCAGUACCCCAUCUGUAAACUGUGGGUCACUAUGGUUUUAAAGUAUCUUGGUCCUCCUGCAAGAGGUGGAGCCUGAUCUUCCCACCCCCACCCCGGGUCCCCCAGCGUGGGCUGUACUUAGUCACUGGGUUCUGA